rnacentral:lncRNA from 1 species
AUGUGAUGGCAAUAAUCUUUGAAACGCAACGAUAACUGAGUGUCAAUGGCUCGCCUCACACGAUCCUCCUUAAAAUCAGCGAUGUCAAAUACACCCUGCCAAUAAUAAAUAGAAGAAUACUAUACAAAUUAAAUAUUCAUAAUAUAAUUUAUUUUAUCUAUAAGUGGGUGUAGAAAACCUCUCUCUGAGCUGGUAGAAUGUGACGUCAAUCGAAGAGCAUCACGAGGGCAUAAUUGCAGCAUAUAAUGCUCAACUUAGUCUGCCAUGGCUCACACCAUCUCCUAAUGGGUCUGGUAUAGCCGAUCGGUAUCUCGAUCCGGAGAUGCUGUCCUGGGUGCUCGCAUCUCCAAUGCUCUAGAGUGAGGUUCUUCGAUGGACCUUGCCCUCGCUUCACCAUCGAUGAAGACUGAUCUGAAACAACAAUAAAUAAAUCAUUAGUAUGAUCCAAAUAAAAAAAUCAAAUUUUAUUAUAUAUAAAGUGUAAUAAUUAAUACCACAGAGACCCGCCUCGCUGAGAUCCAUCUCACUGGGACCCGACUCACUAGGACCUGCCAGUGCAGGACCCUCUGACAGUGGAGCCAGUGCGGCAACAG